UUUUAUGGAGAGUUUGAUCCUGGCUCAGGAUGAACGCUGGCGGCGUGCCUAAUACAUGCAAGUCGAGCGAACGGACGAGAAGCUUGCUUCUCUGAUGUUAGCGGCGGACGGGUGAGUAACACGUGGAUAACCUACCUAUAAGACUGGGAUAACUUCGGGAAACCGGAGCUAAUACCGGAUAAUAUUUUGAACCGCAUGGUUCAAAAGUGAAAGACGGUCUUGCUGUCACUUAUAGAUGGAUCCGCGCUGCAUUAGCUAGUUGGUAAGGUAACGGCUUACCAAGGCAACGAUGCAUAGCCGACCUGAGAGGGUGAUCGGCCACACUGGAACUGAGACACGGUCCAGACUCCUACGGGAGGCAGCAGUAGGGAAUCUUCCGCAAUGGGCGAAAGCCUGACGGAGCAACGCCGCGUGAGUGAUGAAGGUCUUCGGAUCGUAAAACUCUGUUAUUAGGGAAG
rnacentral:rRNA from 1 species